rnacentral:rRNA from 1 species
UACGUAGGGCGCGAGCGUUGUCCGGAUUUAUUGGGCGUAAAGAGCUCGUAGGCGGUUUGUCGCGUCGUCUGUGAAAACCCACGGCUCAACUGUGGGCUUGCAGUCGAUACGGGCAGGCUAGAGUUCGGUAGGGGAGACUGGAAUUCCUGGUGUAGCGGUGAAAUGCGCAGAUAUCAGGAGGAACACCGGUGGCGAAGGCGGGUCUCUGGGCCGAUGACUGACGCUGGAGGAGCGAAAGCGUGGGGAGCGAACAGGG